GUGCCAGCAGCCGCGGUAAUACGGAGGGUGCAAGCGUUAAUCGGAAUUACUGGGCGUAAAGCGCAUGCAGGCGGUUUGUUAAGCGAGAUGUGAAAGCCCCGGGCUCAACCUGGGAACUGCAUUUCGAACUGGCAAACUAGAGUUCUUGAGAGGGUGGUAGAAUUUCAGGUGUAGCGGUGAAAUGCGUAGAGAUCUGAAGGAAUACCAGUGGCGAAGGCGGCCACCUGGCAAGUAACUGACGCUCAGAUGCGAAAGCGUGGGUAGCAAACGGGAUUAGAUACCCCGGUAGUCCACGCCGUAAACGAUGUCUACUCGGAGUUUGGUUCCUUGAGAACUGGGCUCUUAAGCUAACGCAUUAAGUAGACCGCCUGGGGAGUACGGCCGCAAGGUUAAA
rnacentral:rRNA from 1 species